AUUGAACGCUGGCGGCAGGCCUAACACAUGCAAGUCGAGCGGAUGAAGGGAGCUUGCUCCUGGAUUCAGCGGCGGACGGGUGAGUAAUGCCUAGGAAUCUGCCUGGUAGUGGGGGAUAACGUCCGGAAACGGGCGCUAAUACCGCAUACGUCCUGAGGGAGAAAGUGGGGGAUCUUCGGACCUCACGCUAUCAGAUGAGCCUAGGUCGGAUUAGCUAGUUGGUGGGGUAAAGGCCUACCAAGGCGACGAUCCGUAACUGGUCUGAGAGGAUGAUCAGUCACACUGGAAAUGAGACACGGUCCAGAGUCAUACGGGAGGCAGCAGUGGGGAAUAUUGGACAAUGGGCGAAAGCCUGAUGCAGCCAUGCCGCGUGUGUGAAGAAGGUCUUCGGAUUGUAAAGCACUUUAAGUUGGGAGGAAGAGCAGUAAGUUAAUACCUUGCUGUUUUGACGGUACAAACAGAAUAAGCACCGGCUAACUUCGUG
rnacentral:rRNA from 1 species